GGAAGCCAACGCCCCACUGCACUCUAGCUUGGGCGACAAAGCGAGACUCUUGUCUCAAAAAAAAAGUUGCAUCCUAAAGUUGAUUUACUCCAGCAUUCGUUAAAGUGGUGUCAGGGAGUGUUUUAUACUCCCUAACUACCUAUGUUUAGUUGACCCAAAUAACUCUUUAGGGCCCAUUUCUCAUGGCAGGCAGUAUAAUGGUGGUUAAGAACAGGAGCUCUGGGAUUAGAAUCUCAACAGUAACUACAAAUUUAAAUUCGCUGUGAACAUUAAAUGAGAUUAGCCAAGAAAAGUGAAGACAACUGGAAAAGCAUUGCAGUGACCUAAGGCAAAACAAACAAUCUAAUAUAUAUGUCAUUGGAGUCCCAGAUAAACAAUGGAAAACUGGGAAAGAAAAUAAAAUGUGAAGAAAUUAGGGUUGAUAAUCAGCAAAUUUGGAGAAAUACAACUUACAGAUGCAAGAAGGUCAGCAAACCUCCAAAGAGAAUAAAUGCAAAGAAAUUUACAGGUAGGUAUAUUAGAUAUAUUUAUAUCUAAUAUACAGGUAGGUAUAUUAGAUAAAUUUACAGGUAGGUAUAAUAGGCUGAAAACCAAAGAUUAAGAUAAAAUCCUGAAAAUAAAGAGGAAAAAAACAGUACAAAUAGGAAACCGCAAAAAUAAUGGAUAUUGUAAAGAGCAAUGCAGAGCCAGAUGACAGUGAAAUCUUUUUUUUUUUUUUUGAGACAGAGUCUCUCUGUCUCCCAGGCUGGAGUGCAGUGGCACGAUUUCAGCUCACUGCAACCUCUGCCUCCCAGGUUCUAAGCGAUUUUCCUGCCUCAGCCUCCAGAGUAGCUGGGAUUAGAGGGGUGCACCACCACCCCUGGCUAAUUUUGUAUUUUUAGUAGAGAUGGGGUUUCGCCAUGUUGGCCAGGCUGGUCUCAAACUUCUGACUUCAGGUGAUCCACCUGCCUUGGCCUCCCAAAGUGCUGGGAUUACAGGCAUGAGCCACUGCGCCUGGCCAACAGUGAAAUCUUUUCAGUGGCAAAAGAACCCAGAAUUUGGCUAUAUCAUUAAAAAAAAAAAAAAAGUCCUUCAAAAAUGAAGAUGAAAUAGAUGUUUUCAGAUUAAGAUGAGAAUUAGUUGCCAGUAUAUGUGCACAAUUAAGGAAAGUGACACCAAAUACAAGUGAAAUUAUACUUACAGGGUUUUUACAUUAACUCCAAGUAGAUUAUAAGGAUGCAUAAUGUAAUCACCAAAGCAAAAACUAAUGGAAACUCAAUAAAGAAAUUAAAAUUAGAUACUGAAAUAUAUUCUUUUAACCCUAAAGGGCUCCUCUCCCCCCAAAAAGGAGGAACAAAAGAACAAAAUAGAGCUAGGACAAACAGAAAACAGGAAAAUGGCAGACCUAAACCCAACCAUAUCAAUUAUUAUAUUACAUGGACUAAAUAUUGCAAUUCAAAGGCAAAGAUUAUCAAACUGAAUUUAAAAAGUAACAACGAACUUUGUCUACACUUUAAAUGUAAAGACGAGGAUAGUCUAAAAGACUGAAAAAAAGAUAUACCAUGCAAAUAGUAAGCAUAAGAAGCCAGAGUUGCAACAGUAUAUACUCCUCCCUCAGUAACUGACAGAACUAGAGAUCCUCCUCCUCAAAAAAAAAAAAAAAAAAAAAAAAAAAAAAAAAAAAAAA
rnacentral:lncRNA from 1 species